GCGGCCGUGGUCUAGCCUGGUUUUAGGACCCCAAGCUUUAUAAGCUGGUGAUCCCGGGUUCAAAUCCCGGCGGCCGCA
rnacentral:tRNA from 1 species